AGAGUUUGAUCCUGGCUCAGGAUGAACGCUGGCGGCGUGCCUAACACAUGCAAGUCGAACGGGUGUACAGAAGGGAAGAUUACGGUCGGAAGAUCUGUGCAUGAGUGGCGGACGGGUGAGUAACGCGUGGGCAACCUGGCCUGUACAGGGGGAUAACACUUAGAAAUAGGUGCUAAUACCGCAUAACGGGAGAAGCCGCAUGGCUUUUUCCUGAAAACUCCGGUGGUACAGGAUGGGCCCGCGUCUGAUUAGCCAGUUGGCAGGGUAACGGCCUACCAAAGCGACGAUCAGUAGCCGGCCUGAGAGGGCGGACGGCCACACUGGGACUGAGACACGGCCCAGACUCCUGCGGGAGGCAGCAGUAGGGAAUUUUCGUCAAUGGGCGCAAGCCUGAACGAGCGAUGCCGCGUGAGUGAAGAAGGCCUUCGGGUCGUAAAGCUCUGUUGCGGGGGAAAAAAGGCAGCAUCAGGAAAUGGGUGCUGACUGAUGGUGCCCCGCCAGAAAGUCACGGCUAACUACGUGCCAGCAGCCGCGGUAAUACGUAGGUGGCGAGCGUUAUCCGGAAUGAUUGGGCGUAAAGGGUGCGCAGGCGGUCCUGCAAGUCUGGAGUGAAACGCAUGAGCUCAACUCAUGCAUGGCUUUGGAAACUGGAGGACUGGAGAGCAGGAGAGGGCGGUGGAACUCCAUGUGUAGCGGUAAAAUGCGUAGAUAUAUGGAAGAACACCAGUGGCGAAGGCGGCCGCCUGGCCUGUUGCUGACGCUGAGGCACGAAAGCGUGGGGAGCAAAUAGGAUUAGAUACCCUAGUAGUCCACGCCGUAAACGAUGAGGACCAAGUGUUGGGGGUGAAACCUCAGUGCUGAAGUUAACGCAGUGAGUCCUCCGCCUGGGGAGUAUGCACGCAAGUGUGAAACUCAAAGGAAUUGACGGGGGCCCGCACAAGCGGUGGAUUAUGUGGUUUAAUUCGAUGCAACGCGAAGAACCUUACCAGGGCUUGACAUCCUACUGACGAAGUAGAGAUACAUUAGGUACCCUUCGGGGGAAGUAGAGACAGGUGGUGCAUGGUUGUCGUCAGCUCGUGUCGUGAGAUGUUGGGUUAAGUCCCGCAACGAGCGCAACCCUUAUUGUUAGUUGCUACGCAAGAGCACUCUAGCGAGACUGCCGUUGACAAAACGGAGGAAGGUGGGGACGACGUCAAAUCAUCAUGCCCCUUACGUCCUGGGCCACACACGUACUACAAUGGCGGCCAACAAAGAGAGGCGAGACCGCGAGGUGGAGCAAAUCUCAAAAAGCCGUCCCAGUUCGGGUCGCAGGCUGCAACCCGCCUGCGUGAAGUUGGAAUCGCUAGUAAUCGCGGAUCAGCAUGCCGCGGUGAAUACGUUCCCGGGCCUUGCACACACCGCCCGUCA
rnacentral:rRNA from 1 species